rnacentral:rRNA from 1 species
UACAGAGACUGCAAGCGUUAUUCGGAUUCACUGGGCGUAAAGCGUGCGCAGGCGGUUGUGUAAGACAGAUGUGAAAUCCCCGGGCUCAACCUGGGAACUGCAUUUGUGACUGCACGGCUCGAGUGCGGCAGAGGGGGAUGGAAUUCCGCGUGUAGCAGUGAAAUGCGUAGAUAUGCGGAGGAACACCGAUGGCGAAGGCAAUCCCCUGGGCCUGCACUGACGCUCAUGCACGAAAGCGUGGGGAGCAAACAGG